CUUCACUAAUCUUAGCGUCGUAUGACUUGGUCUUUGAUCAUCAUGACAAUAUUCAUUAUAUAUUCGUCAAAAUUAUUGAAAACAAGAAUGUGUCUUUAUUACAUGGAUGCCCAAAUCGCAAGACUAACAAUGGCCAGGAAAUCCUAGGUUAGGACAGGCCCAAAAAAUCGGCAGAUUUAAACAUGUUUUUUUUUGCGAAGUCAAACCCCAUCUCCCUUUACCUCUAGGCAAAGUAGAAAAAAAUUAAACACUCAAUACACACAGUAAAAUUUACUUCAAAAAAAGUCUGAGUCUAAUGUCAGAUUCAACUACCUUGACCGAACACUUAAACCUGAAGCGAGACACAAGGACAAUCAGACGAACAGACUGACAAACGCACGGACGAACAGACGCAUAGACCAGAAAACAUAAUGCCCACAAAUAGGGCUUAACAACAAAGCCGGG
rnacentral:lncRNA from 1 species